UACGUAGGGUGCAAGCGUUAAUCGGAAUUACUGGGCGUAAAGCGUGCGCAGGCGGUUUUGUAAGACAGGCGUGAAAUCCCCGGGCUUAACCUGGGAAUGGCGCUUGUGACUGCAAAGCUGGAGUGCGGCAGAGGGGGAUGGAAUUCCGCGUGUAGCAGUAAAAUGCGUAGAUAUGCGGAGGAACACCGAUGGCGAAGGCAAUCCCCUGGGCCUGCACUGACGCUCAUGCACGAAAGCGUGGGGAGCAAACAGG
rnacentral:rRNA from 1 species